CCUACGGGUGGCAGCAGUGGGGAAUAUUGGACAAUGGGGGGAACCCUGAUCCAGCCAUGCCGCGUGUGUGAAGAAGGCCCUCGGGUUGUAAAGCACUUUCAGUGAGGAAGAACGCCUGGUGGUUAAUACCCAUCAGGAAAGACAUCACUCACAGAAGAAGCACCGGCUAACUCCGUGCCAGCAGCCGCGGUAAUACGGAGGGUGCGAGCGUUAAUCGGAAUUACUGGGCGUAAAGCGCGCGUAGGUGGCUUGAUAAGCCGGUUGUGAAAGCCCCGGGCUCAACCUGGGAACGGCAUCCGGAACUGUCAAGCUAGAGUGCAGGAGAGGAAGGUAGAAUUCCCGGUGUAGCGGUGAAAUGCGUAGAGAGCGGGAGGAAUACCAGUGGCGAAGGCGGCCUUCUGGACUGACACUGACACUGAGGUGCGAAAGCGUGGGUAGCAAACAGGAUUAGAUACCCGAGUAGUC
rnacentral:rRNA from 1 species